rnacentral:rRNA from 1 species
AACGACUCUCGGCAACGGAUAUCUCGGCUCUCGCAUCGAUGAAGAACGUAGCGAAAUGCGAUACUUGGUGUGAAUUGCAGAAUCCCGUGAACCAUCGAGUCUUUGAACGCAAGUUGCGCCCGAAGCCUUUAGGCCRAGGGCACGUCUGGCUGGGUGUCACACAACG